GAUGAACGCUGGCGGCGUGCCUAAUACAUGCAAGUCGAGCGAACAGACGAGGAGCUUGCCCCUCUGACGUUAGCGGCGGACGGGUGAGUAACACGUGGAUAACCUACCUAUAAGACUGGGAUAACUUCGGGAAACCGGAGCUAAUACCGGAUAAUAUAUUGAACCGCAUGGUUCAAUAGUGAAAGACGGUUUUGCUGUCACUUAUAGAUGGAUCCGCGCCGCAUUAGCUAGUUGGUAAGGUAACGGCUUACCAAGGCGACGAUGCGUAGCCGACCGGAGAGGGUGAUCGGCCACACUGGAACUGAGACACGGUCCAGACUCCUACGGGAGGCAGCAGUAGGGAAUCUUCCGCAGUGGGCGAAAGCCUGACGGAGCAACGCCGCGUGGGUGAUGAAGGUCUUCGGAUCGUAAAACUCUGUUAUUAGGGAAGAACAAAUGUGUAAGUAACUAUGCACGUCUUGACGGUACCUAAUCAGAAAGCCACGGCUAACUACGUG
rnacentral:rRNA from 1 species